AACGAACGCUGGCGGCAUGCCUAACACAUGCAAGUCGAACGAGACCUUCGGGUCUAGUGGCGCACGGGUGCGUAACGCGGGGGAACCUGCCCUUAGGUUCGGUAUAACUCCCCGAAAGGGGUGCUCAUACCGGAUAAUCUCAUAGGACCAAGGAUGUCUCGCCUUUGGAUGGGCCCGGGUUGGCUUCGCUGGUUGGUAGGGUAAAAGCCUGCCAAGGCGACGGUCCAGGGCUGGUCUGAGAGGAGGCUCCGCCACGCUGGGACUGAGGCCCGGGCCAGACUCCUACGCGGCGCAGCGGAGGGGAAUACUGGACGCUGGGCCAAAACCUGAUCCAGCAGUGCCGCGGGUGUGGUGAAGGCCUUAGGAUUCUAAUUCCCUUUUACCCGAGGUGAUAAUGACAGUACCGGGUGAAUAAGCACCGGCUAACUCCGUG
rnacentral:rRNA from 1 species